AUGCUCUAUCUGUGGCUAACUCACUACAACAGCACAGAUGUAAAGGGAAUCCAUUGUAAGAAACACAGAAUCCCUCUAAAACCAACCAACAACAAAUAUGAAAUGGCAUUGCAUUGUUAUAUCAGUGGUAAGUUCAUAUGCAUAUUCUCCGUUUCUCUGGAAUUGGUCGAAAGUGUUUCUUCUGCUAUUGAUUCAAUCACUAGGCUUGUUGCCUUUGUUGCUGAAUUUUGCAUUGCUACUGGAAGACACUGCAUUGUUGAAGGAGUCCAUUGGGGACUGGAGUCAAUGGCCUACAACAUGGGCAGGCACGUGCGCUUCAUGAUUGUUGUUGGUUAA
rnacentral:rRNA from 1 species